CCCUUAGAUGUUCUGGGCCGCACGCGCGCUACACUGACGAAUGCAACGAGCUUAUAACCUUGGCCGAAAGGUCUGGGUAAUCUCCAAAUUUCGUCGUGAUGGGGAUAGAUUAUUGCAAUUAUUAAUCUUCAACGAGGAAUGCCUAGUAAGCGCAAGUCAUCAGCUUGCGUUGAUUACGUCCCUGCCCUUUGUACACACCGCCCGUCGCACCUACCGAUUGAAUGGUCCGGUGAAAUCUCGGGACGGCGGCUUGGUCGCUUGCGUCCGACUGCUGAAACUUGAUUAAACCAUAUCAUUUAGAGGAAGGUGAAGUCGUANCA
rnacentral:rRNA from 1 species